GUUGGCAUCCUCUAUGGCUAGAAUGUUAACACAGAUGAUGGCAUCAACCGUUAGAAAGCUAAGCUUUCUGGGCCAGUGGAAUGGCUGAAGAACUGUGUCACAAGGAGGAGAAUCUCUUCUGAUGCCCCCAGAAGAGGCUUAUUUCCCAGGAGUUUUCCCAUGAGUUCGUUUCCAAGGCCAAACAUCCUUUCUCCACAGAUCUUUUUGAUCACCAUGGAGACAAUCUGCUGCUCUGUCCAAUGGAGAGUUUGAGCGGCAGUCACCAUGACAACCUGCGGGGGUAGAAGGACAGCUCAAAGCACCCCUCAGAUGAGAGCCAGGACAGGGACCGGAAGACAUUGUGGUUCUCACAAGUGCAGCAGAUGAAGGGGGGACUCCCUUCCUCUGUCUGAGCAAGAAACAGCUUGUGCCUUCACUGUAGUCUUCAUCCAGGAGGACCAGGAAGGAACAGAGCAGCACUGACAUCUGCCAGUCCCUGGGGUCAAGUGGCUUAAAAAAGGCACAGAUGUGACCUAAAUCCUGAUCACCAUGCUGGGGGCUCUCCUUGUGAAGACCGCAUCUUAGGGGACAGCCAGCCAUCUCGUUCCCUGAGGAUGUGCUGCCGUGGAUGCUGCUGUGAGUAUCACUAUUGCCAUUGUUAUGGUAACCAUUUACAAGCACCUGCUAUGCGCCAGGCACCUAGCAAAAUCUGAUGAUGUGCAAGCAAUGGAAGAGUCACACAGUGGAGAACCAACUGCAACAAUCCCAGGAGCAAAGUGCUAUGGGACCACAGAAGAAAGAGAAGUGGAUCCCAGCACAGGCAGUGUCCAUGGAGGAGAAGAAAAGACACCAAAAGCAAAGGU
ensembl:lincRNA